rnacentral:rRNA from 1 species
CCUGGCUCAGGAUGAACGCUGGCGGCGUGCUUAACACAUGCAAGUCGAACGAGCCUUCGGGCUAGUGGCGGACGGGUGAGUAACGCGUGGGAAUCUGCCCUCAGGAGGGGGAUAACGGCCGGAAACGGCCGCUAAUACCCCAUAUGCCGAGAGGUGAAACGAAUUUCGCCUGAGGAUGAGCCCGCGUCUGAUUAGCUAGUUGGUGAGGUAAUGGCUCACCAAGGCAUCGAUCAGUAGCUGGUCUGAGAGGAUGAUCAGCCACACUGGGACUGAGACACGGCCCAGACUCCUACGGGAGGCAGCAGUGGGGAAUUUUCCGCAAUGGGCGCAAGCCUGACGGAGCAACGCCGCGUGAGGGACGAAGGCCUCUGGGCUGUAAACCUCUUUUCUCAAGGAAGAAGACAUGACGGUACUUGAGGAAUAAGCCACGGCUAAUUCCGUGCCAGCAGCCGCGGUAAUACGGGAGUGGCAAGCGUUAUCCGGAAUUAUUGGGCGUAAAGCGUCCGCAGGCGGCCUUGAAAGUCUGUUGUUAAAGCGUGGAGCUCAACUCCAUUUCAGCAAUGGAAACUACAAGGCUAGAGUGUGGUAGGGGCAGAGGGAAUUCCCGGUGUAGCGGUGAAAUGCGUAGAUAUCGGGAAGAACACCAGUGGCGAAGGCGCUCUGCUGGGCCAUAACUGACGCUCAUGGACGAAAGCCAGGGGAGCGAAAGGGAUUAGAUACCCCUGUAGUCCUGGCCGUAAACGAUGAACACUAGGUGUCGGGAGAAUUAACCCUUUCGGUGUCGUAGCCAACGCGUUAAGUGUUCCGCCUGGGGAGUACGCACGCAAGUGUGAAACUCAAAGGAAUUGACGGGGGCCCGCACAAGCGGUGGAGUAUGUGGUUUAAUUCGAUGCAACGCGAAGAACCUUACCAGGGUUUGACAUCCUGCGAAUCCUUUGGAAACUUAGGAGUGCCUUCGGGAGCGCAGUGACAGGUGGUGCAUGGCUGUCGUCAGCUCGUGUCGUGAGAUGUUGGGUUAAGUCCCGCAACGAGCGCAACCCACGUCUUUAGUUGCCAGCAUUUAGUUGGGCACUCUAGAGAGACCGCCGGUGAUAAACCGGAGGAAGGUGUGGAUGACGUCAAGUCAUCAUGCCCCUUACAUCCUGGGCUACACACGUACUACAAUGCUACGGACAAAGGGCAGCAAACUCGCGAGAGCUAGCAAAUCCCAUAAACCGUGGCUCAGUUCAGAUCGUAGGCUGCAACUCGCCUACGUGAAGGAGGAAUCGCUAGUAAUCGCAGGUCAGCAUACUGCGGUGAAUACGUUCCCGGGCCUUGUACACACCGCCCGUCACACCAUGGAAGUUGGCCAUGCCCGAAGUCGUUACUCCAACCCGCAAGGGAGGAGGACGCCGAAGGUGGGGCUGAUGACUGGGGUGAAGUCGUAACAAGGUAGCCGUACCGGAAGGUGCGGCUGGAUCACCUCCUAACAGGGAGACAAUCAAAGAUUGUGAUGUCUGGCUCAUUUAUUGCUAGACCACGGUCCUGUCAUCUCGAUGGUUAAUCGGUACCUCAAGCGACGGAGGCAAAACCUGAAGUUUUUCUAGUGAUAGAAGAGCUGAUGUGUUGUUGUCAAAGUCUUUUCAGUUCCUAAACUUUGUCUAGGUCACCCCCGCAAGGGAAUCCCUGGGCCAUUAGCUCAGGUGGUUAGAGCGCACCCCUGAUAAGGGUGAGGUCCCUGGUUCAAGUCCAGGAUGGCCCAUUCGUGUUCGGGGGUUUAGCUCAGUUGGUAGAGCGCCUGCUUUGCAAGCAGGAUGUCAGCGGUUCGAGUCCGCUAACCUCCACUGACCAACCCUCUACAUUCGCGAGAACAAGGGGACAGAGCUUGUGGUGGUGAAUUUAGACGAUUGUACUGAAGAAGGACUCUAGCUUCCUUUCACUGUAUGAUGAGCUCACUC